AGGACGAACGCUGGCGGCGUGCUUAACACAUGCAAGUCGAACGGAAAGGCCCUUCGGGGUACUCGAGUGGCGAACGGGUGAGUAACACGUGGGUGAUCUGCCCUGCACUUUGGGAUAAGCCUGGGAAACUGGGUCUAAUACCGAAUACACCUUGCCGGCUGCAUGGUUGGUGGGGGAAAGCUUUUGCGGUGUGGGAUGAGCCCGCGGCCUAUCAGCUUGUUGGUGGGUGAUGGCCUACCAAGGCGACGACGGGUA
rnacentral:rRNA from 1 species